rnacentral:rRNA from 1 species
UACGUAGGGUGCGAGCGUUGUCCGGAAUUACUGGGCGUAAAGAGCUCGUAGGUGGUUUGUCGCGUUGUCCGUGAAAAACUCACAACUCAAUUGUGGGCGUGCGGGCGAUACGGGCAGACUGGAGUACUGCAGGGGAGACUGGAAUUCCUGGUGUAGCGGUGGAAUGCGCAGAUAUCAGGAGGAACACCGGUGGCGAAGGCGGGUCUCUGGGCAGUAACUGACGCUGAGGAGCGAAAAGCGUGGGGAGCGAACAGG